AUACGGGAGUUUUUAGAAAACCCUAGCCGUCAUCUAUCCUCUCUUCUCUCUUCCAUCUUCUAGCAAGAAAGACGUCCUUUUGCAAGGGAGCUAGCACCCCGGUGAGGACAUCGAUCAAAUCAAGAACCUCGUGUGGAUACCUAUAGAGGCCGGACGCGUGUGCGGCUUCAAGAGAACCCGAUUCCACGAUCAUCAAAUUGAGGGAAGGAUUUAUCCGCGAAAAAGGUAAUGAUUCGAUCUUACUUUUCUCCUUUAAUCUUAAAGAACAUGAGGGAUCCUAAUUGCGUGGUUUUGAGAUUAGAUCUCGAGAGUUUUCAAAAUCAAAUUUGUUUAAUUUUCUUUUCCGCUGCGUUUUACCGUACGCAAUUUUCUAACACAAAUUUCACUUUGGAGAAAAACAUGUCGCACUUAA
rnacentral:lncRNA from 1 species